GGGAAUCUACCCAACCCUACGGAAUAACGCAUGGAAACGUGUGCUAAUACCGUAUACGCCCUUUGGGGGAAAGAUUUAUCGGGGAUGGAUGAGCCCGCGUUGGAUUAGCUAGUUGGUGGGGUAAAGGCCUACCAAGGCGACGAUCCAUAGCUGGUCUGAGAGGAUGAUCAGCCACAUUGGGACUGAGACACGGCCCAAACUCCUACGGGAGGCAGCAGUGGGGAAUAUUGGACAAUGGGCGCAAGCCUGAUCCAGCCAUGCCGCGUGAGUGAUGAAGGCCCUAGGGUUGUAAAGCUCUUUCACCGGAGAAGAUAAUGACAGUAUCCGGAGAAGAAGCCCCGGCUAACUUCGUGCCAGCAGCCGCGGUAAUACGAAGGGGGCUAGCGUUGUUCGGAAUUACUGGGCGUAAAGCGCACGUAGGCGGACAUUUAAGUCAGGGGUGAAAUCCCGGGGCUCAACCUCGGAACUGCCUUUGAUACUGGGUGUCUUGAGUGUGGAAGAGGUCAGUGGAAUUGCGAGU
rnacentral:rRNA from 1 species